UACAUGAUUUUUGCGUAACUUUUCUCAUUAAACUUGUUUCUAUCCAGCAUUAAACAGGAUUUAAUUUUUUAAAGAAAUUUGCCACUUUUGUUCAACUUAAAAUUUAUGCUUAAGAAACUUGAACUUAAACAGUGAGCAGAAUUUUUAACCUAAAAGGAUUUAAACAAAAAACAGUCCGUAAUAAGAACAUUUUCUAAUUGUUUGUAAGUAGCAGGAUAUUCUAAAAAAAAUUAUUUUGUUAAUUUUUAUUUACAAGAAAAUAUUAAGUAUUUAAAGGAAUUUUUUACCUAUAAAUUUUCCGCAAAGACAUGUCGCGUAAGUAACUUGAUAAUACUUGAAUCUGUUGAACCAUAAGGAUUUUCUUAGUAAAAAAUGCAUAGUAUUAUAUUAUUUUAGCCUUUCAAUAGCUUAGUGUAAAGAAUUUAAUUUAUCUCCCUGAGGAAAAUCAUCAUUUAAAAGUUUUUUUCCUUCUAGAAUGUAGAAUUGAAGAUUUGGAUGGAAGUGAGGAUGAAGAUGAGGAGGAUGAGAAUAUGGAUAUUAUAAUUACACCAUGGAGGAAUGAGUCACAUUUUGACAAAUUUGAAUUGUGGUUGGUUAGCCCUGAUGGUAAGCGAAAAAAUAAACGUGCUGCGAAACAACAUUCCAGACAAGUGCAGCUGAUUUUAAAGGACACCAGCCAAGAUUCAUACGAAUUAUCCGUUCUUUUUGACCGCAUGAAGAUCAGGAAUCAAUGGUUACUGAAUUUUGAAAAACGGAGAAAAGCUAGAACUAUAAAAAGUUAUCUCCAUUCUCUAUGUCAUUUUUACAAGUAUAUUUUGUGUGACACACCUGUGCUUUUCAAAGAUUUCGUUAAGGACUGUCCAAGCAUGAUAGUUAUCAUGGAAAACUGGAUUGUGGAGUAUAGAAAGAAAAAGUGACAAAUGGAUGAAAGAUUUGGAGCAGUUAGAUCAGCUCAUAACAGCUGAAGAGGUCAACACCUUCGAUAAUUCAACACACGUAUCCAAUUGUCGCAGGAAUAUCAAGGAAGUGUUGGCCACUGGUAAAGUUCCAACAUUCAAGCAAUUUACCUCUGUUCGAGAUUAUAUCUUAACUUAUCUCUGCUUGGAUAACGCGUCAAGGACCGGUGCUUUGGCUAACAUGACAACCAAAGAGUUCAUGACGGGGAAAAUGGAAAAUGGAGUAUAUAUUGUAAGUGUUUUUAACCACAAAACAAUAGCGACGUCGGGACCAGCGACAAUUUGCUUCACAGCAAAUCUAUAUAAAGAAUCAUCGAUAUUCUUUCAACAUUUCCGAAAUAGGCUAGAAGGCCUAGACGACGAAAAAGGUUCUGCCAACAACCCGUUUUUUACCAGCUGGAGCGGAAAUAAAAUGUCUUCUUCAAUGGCCACAGGCCAGUUGAACUCAUUUUGGAAUAAAGCAGUGGGAAGGAGUUUGCUGCGACCACGUCUUAAUGCAACACUAGUCCGCAAGACGUGUGUCACUAAAACUCAUUCUUUGAGGCCAGAGUUGGAGCAACAGUUGGCAAAUUUAAUGUGCCACUCCAAGGAAGCAGCCAGACGGUCGUACUUUCUGCAAGAAAAGUCAAAAAAUGCCGCAGAAACAAGUAGGGAGCUGAGAUCUGUCCUACGCCAAAGUGGGAAUAACGUUGAUGUGUCUCUAGAGGAUGCCAUUGAAGUGCAUUUUGCAAAGGAGAUAAGUGAUGGUAAAAUCACUCUGACUGUCGUGAAAGAAAAGUCAACAUUACAUCCGAGCUUUUUUAAUCUUACCUCACUACAGCUACGAGAUAAAAUUCGUUAUUUCAUCAUGUGAAGACGAAGAGACAGAAUAACGAUGAAGUUAGAGAUAAAGGUAAUAAUUUGAGACAUAGCAUUUUAAUACGUUUUUACAAAUUGAUUUUUAGUUUUCUUAUUAAAAUUUUAACCUGAUUACGCAAUUUAUUAUUAUCCCAUUCUUUCUGCACAUUACGUUAUAAUUCCCCUGUAAGCUUUACGUUUUUUAAAAAACUUAGACUUUUAAAAAAGAAAGUGACUACUAUUAACCAUUUCUUUCCCAAAAAAUCAUAUUUUCAAAACAAAUGUAAUUUACAAGUUUCGCUGCGUUGUCUCGCGUGACACUUGGAGACUUAAUCUUGUAAAAAAUAUAUUCUGCUUUUAGAAAAAGUGUCCAGUCACUGUAGUCACUAGAUUUUGCUUUUCCAAAAUAAUAAUGACAAACUGCCGUACUGGGGUAACAGGCGAAGGACUCUUGGGGUGUAUUAACUUCACAUUGCUAAUCAUGUUGUUCUCCGUCAAUAUACUUUUAAUAUUUUGUGAGUGAGGCGUUGAAGUUGCUUUUCAUAUAUGGUUAAAAUAAAAUGAAAAGUUGUUGCGUCAAUAACUCAGUUAUACUUAAAUAAUACACAUUUACAUACAACCCUGUUCUAUAUAGCUUUUAAAAGGAAAAUUAAAACGGAUAACUUUAAAAAUGUACAUAAUUAAAAUAGAAAAUUAAACAUUUAGAAUUAACAGUGCACGAACCAGAAGCCCCUUUUAACGAUAAUGAAGCUCUGAUCAGCGACAAUACAUCGAUUUCGACGUGUGAAACGACUUCAUCCUUGUUUGGAACUAGAAAAGAUAGGGUGAAGUUUUCCAGCGAAGAUAACCAAUCAAUUUGGGGAAAAUUUGGAGACCUGAUAACAGAAAGUAAAUUAAUUAAGGAGGCAGAUAUUCGCAGUGCAAGCAAAGCUGACAGAGUUGUGAAAGAUUUGAUCGAAAAAUACGGUGUAACCACAAUAGUGAUGAAAGUUCGCACUGAGAAAAAGAAAUUUGCAAAGGACAAUGCUAGUUAGAACAUUAGUAUAUUUCCCAGCAUGCAUAUAGAAAGUAGCAAUAAAAAAAUAUAAUCAAAAAGUGAAAUUUAUUUUCCCACCAAAUCAAUUCCCACCAACAAAAUGUUUCUAAUCAUUUUCUUAAUUUACCAUCCUCUCAUACACCUCUUUCGUAUAAUACGCUUUCAGAGCUAUUUUUAACUAAUGAAUAUCUAACUGUAUGUUGCAACACGAUAUAUUGUUAUUAAUUUUCAACAUUGUAUUAACAAAUGUUCCCGAUAAUUAUUCCGUUAGAAAUAAUAAUUCAAGUAAACGUUUUUGUUUAAAUGAACAUUUCUGUAAGGAACUUACCUUUUUCCAGCAUUAACAUAUUGUUCUGCCUUAGAAACUACUAUUCACGGCGUCUCUGACUAAAUAAAACACAUUUAACAUUACAGUGUCUAUUAUGGCGUGUAUUAACCAACAUAUCAAACUAUUCUUAGAUACAGUAUAGAGAAAGAUGUUCUCCCACAGGACAUUCGUAGGUAGUACCAAAGAUGUUACUCUGAAGUAAUUGUCAUAAUGUUAGUAAAAUAAACUGUAGGAGUCGAUAUAGCUACAUACAAUGUUCUAAAACUAAUACAUUAACUGCUGUUCUGGCAAGCACCGCUUACGUAGGGAUGGUACUUAGUAAAAAUGGUGCAGAUUUUCCGUAUGUAAACAAAAUAAAUUCAUAUAAGUCCACAGUCCAUGGAUAAACCCACGAAUUUGCCCAGCCCGGACGUUUUUUAUGUUUCCGUAGCACCGAUCUUCUUGCGCGCAAUAAUGUUAUGUGCAACACAUCUGUCUUGUGCAUCAAUGAAACAACGAAACGCUAUAAUUACUAAUACGCCACGUACAAGCUUCUUGCGGGCACCUCCGCUAAACAUUAAGACAGACUAACAUGUGGAAAACAUACAUAGGAAAUACCCCAAAAAAUGUAAAAGUCCGGUGAAACAACCACAAUUUCUUAACUAAAAACUCGAACCUGCAAAUGGCACAUACUAAUGACUACCCCUCAAAUAAUUGAGGAAGAAAGAAGCUUCUUCAAUGGUUUUAAAACAACAAUGAACUUGAUGAUGUCAGCAGAAAUGAGGAACCUUCACAAAAAUGCUGACGUCAGCAAUUUUCCUGUCGUUGUGUCAUCAUAAUAAUCACCUAUACCAACUUUCUACCUGCGUGUCCUAUCUAUGAGGAAUACGGGAGUUGGUAAGAUAAAAAAUACAUAAAAACAAGCUACAUACGACUUAUCCACAAAAUAGGGGGCAAGAAUAUUUCAACUACUUGUUAAGAACUGACAGAAAAUUAACUUAAUUCAUUUAUUGUAGUACUGCACGUUAAUAAGCAACUGGAAACCUAUUGAAACAAGAAUAAACUUGCGCUUUUUAAGGUAACAAUUUAUCCAGGGAAUUGCUCCUGAAAUCCAAAUUUCAAAAUUGGGUCUUUUUGCGCAUGCGUCAAAUCGAGCACAUUGAUAUAAAUUGUAACAAUUUUUUUCUUGAAUUGAGUUGUGUGAAUUGUUCCUUCUCUUUAAACAACUGAACCGCAUUGUGUAAUUACAUUUUUUAAGAAUAAUUACACAAAAACGCCUUAACUUUUUGCUCCCGAAAUUCAAAUCAAAUUUUUUGAAGGCAAAAACUCGAGAAAAUGCUUAUAAUUUUUUUUCAAAAAAUAUUUACUAUUCCAUUCCAUCCUUUAAACAUACCCCAGACCCACUUUGUUAAGAAGCAAAAGGAUUUAAACUGGUUUUGUAGUGUUUAAAGAUGAUAUGAGAGUUACACUGAAAAAAUCAAACGCUAUCGAAGUCGCAUUUUACAUCAGCGUACGUAACACAUACCCGAUAUUACACUAUGAACUUGACUCAACCAAAUUUAUCAAAAUUUUUGUAUUUUUCCUAGAUAGAUAUGAUAAAAUAAAGGUGGAAUGGAGUGGGAUUCUAUCAUUUAAGAGGGAAUAAAGCAAGCUAAUAUGGGACCAAAGGACAACUUAUGGGGGUCAAUGUAGCCCGAGAAAACAUGCGUGCUCCCGAAAUGCAAACGGUUUGCGCACUUCUGCUCAAUUUUUUUUGUAAAUGUAAAUUAUAGAAAUUUUUAAUUUCAAUUCCAUCAAAGAGGCAUGGAACUUUUUUUUCGGCACUUAACAGCCACGUAUUUCCUACUACAGAAGAUGCUAGAUCGAUUUAAAGACUGAUUACGAAAUUUGCAUUUCGGGAGCAAUCCAGCAAUUUGAACUGGUUUUGUAGUGUUUAAAGAUGAUAUGAGAGUUACACUGAAAAAAUCAAACGCUAUCGAAGUCGCAUUUUACAUCAGCGUACGUAACACAUACCCGAUAUUACACUAUGAACUUCACUCAAUCAAAUUUAUCAAAAUUUUUGUAUUUUUCCUAGAUAGAUAUGAUAAAAUAAAGGUGGAAUGGAGUGGGAUUCUAUCAUUUAAGAGGGAAUAAAGCAAGCUAAUAUGGGACCAAAGGACAACUUAUGGGGGUCAAUGUAGCCCGAGAAAACAUGCGUGCUCCCGAAAUGCAAACGCUUUGCGCACUUCUGCUCAAUUUUUUUUGUAAAUGUAAAUUAUAGAAAUUUUUAACUUCAAUUCCAUCAAAGAGGCAUGGAACUUUCUUUUCGGCACUUAACAGCCACGUAUUUCCUACUACAGAAGAUGCUAGAUCGAUUUAAAGACUGAUUACGAAAUUUGCAUUUCGGGAGCAAUCCAGCAAUUUGGUGAAUCUAAAGAUAGAUAGAUAGAUGGAUAGAUGGAUAGAUGGAUAGAUGGAUAGAUGGAUAGAUGGAUAGAUGGAUAGAUGGAUAGAUGGAUAGAUAGAUAGAUAGAUAGAUAGAUAGAUAGAUAGAUAGAUAGAUAGAUAGAUAGAUAGAUAGAUAGAUAGAUAGAUAGACUGAUAAAAUAAAACGCUAGUGCGUCGUUAUUACGAGGUGUGGAUUAAAUCCAUAUCCAUCUAGCAGCUAACAAUUUAAUUUUUAUAGAAACACAUGAUAUCAGCGCAACACGACAUGUGAACAAAGAUUCUGAAGUAGAUCAGAUAUCUGUACCAGAAAAUUUAGAAGAACAAAACAGAAAUAUGGAUGAGGAUGGUGCAAACGUACUUUUGGAGGAGCUGCCUAACCAAAACAAUGGUACUUGUUUCAGAAAUUUAAAUGUUUUUAACAUAUUCUACAUUUUUUAUUUCUAGGCAUGAAGAUUCUAUCCAACUAAAUACUUGCUUCUUAAAAAUUAUUUGUAGAAACCAAUGCCACACCUGAUGUUGUGUAAGAGAGCGUGUAUGGUGGAAACUUUGUGGAUGGUGUAUCAGGUGAGAAAAUUUUGACUGCAAUUUAUUUUUAGCUGAUCUGAGACAAAAGUAAAUAUCAUGUUUUUUUUUGUUUAGUGUUACCAAAAUCAGACAUAACUGUUGGGCAUAUAUUGUCUGUAUAUGCUCAACCUGAUGACAAUGAAACAUUUUGGCUUUUAAAAGUAAAAACUCUUCAACUGGGCGUAAAAUUGAAGGCAUGUGGCCGAAUAAGCUAUCAGAAUGUAGAUAUGGCAUUGGUGACCCAAGUAAGGUUGUGUGGAGAAUUUCAAAGGAUGGUAAAACAUACUUCGUCCUUCAUGCUCUGAGUGAGGCUGGUAUGUUCCAUAUAUCAGGAGAAGCUGAGCAAUUAUUCAUAUCUAAUUGUAACUAAUACAGUUUCUCUUUUUUGUCUCUAUGACAUAGAAUUGUAUACUUUUCUAUCUAUACAUAGAUUUGUAUUGCGAAUAUGCUUUGAGAAAUUUGCACAUUUUACAACACAUUGUUACAUUAUUUUACGUAAAUCCAAAUAUACAGAUCCAAAAGAGAAACUGCUGAUGUAAAUUGAAUGUAUAUUAAUGUAUAUUGAAAUACAUAUGAUGUAAAUAUAUAUGUUUUUGUUCUUUUUUUUGUUCAUUAGUGUGGAUAAAUUUUCAAAAUUGAAUAAAGGCAUGUAAAAUUUGCGCACUGUUAAUAGAAGAAAAUUGUUAGUUGUUGAGAAAAUGUCUAUAUAUACGUUCUUUCAUUAGGUCAUUAUAAAUAAAAAAAACAAUGUCAAAAUCGAAUGAAUUGAAGUUCAAGUAUUCUGGUGAUCGUAACUUUUAUCCAGGUACUUUUUUUAUAUUCCUGCCGACAACAAUCCAAGGUAGUUAAAUAAUUCACUCUAGUUGUUGUUGUUGUUUUUGCUGUUGUUAUUGUUUUGGUUCAUUGUACAUUGCCAAA